rnacentral:tRNA from 1 species
GAGCAUAGCUCAGUUGGGAGAGCAUCUGCCUUACAAGCAGAGGGUCAGAGGUUCGAGCCCUCUUGUUCCC